UCCAGACUCCUACGGGAGGCAGCAGUCGGGAAUAUUGCACAAUGGAGGAAACUCUGAUGCAGUGACACCGCGUAUAGGAAGAAGGUUUUCGGAUUGUAAACUAUUUUAGACAGGGAAGAAAAAAGACAGUACCUGUAGAAUAAGCUCCGGCUAACUACGUGCCAGCAGCCGCGGUAAUACGUAGGGAGCAAGCGUUAUCCGGAAUUAUUGGGUGUAAAGAGUUCGUAGGCGGUAUGUUAAGUCUGGUGCUAAAUGCAGAAGCUCAACUUCUGUUCGGCACUGGAUACUGGCAAACUAGAAUGCGGUAGAGGUAAAGGGAAUUCCUGGUGUAGCGGUGAAAUGCUUAGAUAUCAGGAGGAACAUCGGUGGCGUAAGCGCUUUACUGGGCCGUAAUUGACGCUGAGGAACGAAAGCCAGGGUAGCAAAUGGGAUUAGAUACCCCAGUA
rnacentral:rRNA from 1 species